GCCCAGCUGAUGAAUCCUAAAUAGGACGAAACGCGUGUCAAACUAGAU
rnacentral:hammerhead_ribozyme from 1 species